UCGCGCUCUCUGUUGUUUUGUUGUGAUACUGGUUUAAUAGAAACUGUUAUAAAUAUUGUUUCUAUAAUAGAAAAAUACAGUGUUUGAGUCAGGCCAGUAACGUAAAUGCCUGUAAUAUUCUCAUCCUCACAGUCGUGACAGAUUUAAAGCAAGCAGGAAUAUCUGGAGGAGUAUCUGCUGUGAAGAUGGUGUUUGUUAAAGAGAGUGAGGAGAACACGAGUGAACCAAAACUCUGGAGAAUAAAACACGAGGAACCAGAAACCUGGAGAAUAAAACACGAGGAACCAGAACCCUGGGAAAUAAAACAGGAGGAACAAGGAGAGUUGAUUGAAGAUAAUGAGGAGAAAGAAGAAUCAAGUGAAGUUGAGGAGAAAAAUCAUGUCAAAACUGGAGAAAAACC